rnacentral:rRNA from 1 species
GACGUAGGUGGCGAACGUUAUCCGGAAUCAUUGGGCGUAAAGGGUGCGUAGAUGGCCUGAUAAGUUAGCAGUGGGAAAUCGAGGCUCAACCUCGUGGAAGCUGGUAAUACUGUUAGGCUCGAGUGCAGGAGAAGUUAACGGAACUCCAUGUGGAGCGGUAAAAUGUGUAGAUAUAUGGAAGAACAUCAAUAACGGCGAAGGCAGUUAACUAUUCUGUUACUGACGUUGGGGCACGAAAGCGUGGGGAGCAAAACGG